CAUUUUAUUUAAGUAUGAAUAGCGAAUAAGAUAUCACUAUAAGAGGAGCCUAUGUCUGAUUAGCUAGUUGGUAGGGUAAUGGCCUACCAAGGCUACGAUCAGUAGCCGGUCUGAGAGGAUGAUCGGCCACACUGGAACUGAGACACGGUCCAGACUCCUACGGGAGGCAGCAGUGGGGAAUAUUGGACAAUGGGCGCAAGCCUGAUCCAGCAAUACCGCGUGAAUGAUGAAGGCCCUCUGGGUUGUAAAAUUCUUUUAUUAGGGAAGAUGAUGACUGUACCUGAUGAAUAAGAACCGACUAACUACGUG
rnacentral:rRNA from 1 species